rnacentral:sRNA from 1 species
GCUGGGCGCAGUGGCACAUGCCUGUAAUCCCAGCAACUUGGAAGGCUGAGGCAGGAGGAUCGCAAGUUCAAAGCCAGACUCAGCGACUUAGUGAGGCCCUAAGCCACUGGGUGAGACCCUGUCUCUA